AUGCAAGUCGAGCGAACUGAUUAGAAGCUUGCUUCUAUGACGUUAGCGGCGGACGGGUGAGUAACACGUGGGCAACCUGCCUGUAAGACUGGGAUAACUUCGGGAAACCGAAGCUAAUACCGGAUAGGAUCUUCUCCUUCAUGGGAGAUGAUUGAAAGAUGGUUUCGGCUAUCACUUACAGAUGGGCCCGCGGUGCAUUAGCUAGUUGGUGAGGUAACGGCUCACCAAGGCAACGAUGCAUAGCCGACCUGAGAGGGUGAUCGGCCACACUGGGACUGAGACACGGCCCAGACUCCUACGGGAGGCAGCAGUAGGGAAUCUUCCGCAAUGGACGAAAGUCUGACGGAGCAACGCCGCGUGAGUGAUGAAGGCUUUCGGGUCGUAAAACUCUGUUGUUAGGGAAGAACAAGUACGAGAGUAACUGCUUGUACCUUGACGGUACCUAACCAGAAAGCCACGGCUAACUACGUGCCAGCAGCCGCGGUAAUACGUAGGUGGCAAGCGUUAUCCGGAAUUAUUGGGCGUAAAGCGCGCGCAGGCGGUUUCUUAAGUCUGAUGUGAAAGCCCACGGCUCAACCGUGGAGGGUCAUUGGAAACUGGGGAACUUGAGUGCAGAAGAGAAAAGCGGAAUUCCACGUGUAGCGGUGAAAUGCGUACAGAUGUGGAGGAACACCAUUGGCGAAGGCGGCUUUCUGGUCUGUAACUGACGCUGAGGCGCGAAAGCGUGUGGAGCACACAGGAUUACAUACUCUGGUAGUCCACGCCGUAAACG
rnacentral:rRNA from 1 species